rnacentral:lncRNA from 10 species
AUUUCUUGUUACCGCGCAAGUGGGAUAACCUCCCCACCAGUGUCUAGACACAGUAGGUGCUCAAUAAAUAGGUGUGGGUUUGCGGUGGCAGAAGAGCGCUAUCCCUUAAGUUUCUGACAGUGAGGGGGAAAAAGGCUAAGCAGGGAAAGGAAGGGAAAGGGGUAAACUGAGCUCGGCGCAGUCGAGAGCGCGAAAUAGGGAGGGCUUCCUGCAGGCCAGGAAUUUGGAGAGGCCGAGGCUGGGAGAAGAAAAAUGCCCGGUGACGGCGGAGGGGAGGUGGAAGGACGAACGGCUCCGGGAAGGGCUGGGAGAGACUCACACGAAGCAGUUUCUGACCUAUCCUGUCGUACACAAGUCCUCGGCGUGCUCGGCCGGACCAUCCCCUGGAAAGAAAGGGGCGUGUGACCUUUCUCUCCCCGAUCCUCCAGACCACUGCGCCGCCCAGGGAGGUCAUCCCCGAGAGAGCCCCCGCCUCACUCGGAGCACACAUUCUAGCUCUCCCCGGGACUUUUCCAAGUUGCAUCACUGUUUGGCCUCUAGACAGCUGGAACAGUGAACCAUGGAGCUGUAUUUCGGU